UACGAAGGGUGCACGCGUUACUCGGAAUUACUGGGCGUAAAGGGUGCGUAGGUGGUUCUUUAAGUCUGCUGUGAAAGCCCCGGGCUCAACCUGGGAAUGGCAGUGGAUACUGGAGAGCUAGAGUGCGGUAGAGGGUAGUGGAAUUCCCGGUGUAGCAGUGAAAUGCGUAGAGAUCGGGAGGAACACCAGUGGCGAAGGCGGCUACCUGGACCAGCACUGACACUGAAGCACGAAAGCGUGGGGAGCAAACAGG
rnacentral:rRNA from 1 species